rnacentral:rRNA from 1 species
GACGAACGCUGGCGGCGUGCCUAAUACAUGCAAGUAGAACGCUGAAGGUAUAGCUUGCUUCUCUGGAUGAGUUGCGAACGGGUGAGUAACGCGUAGGAAACCUGACUGGUCGUGGGUGAUAACUAUUGGAAACGAUAGCUAAUACCACAUAAGAGUAGAUAUUGCAUGUUAUUUGCUUAUAAGUUGUAAUAGCAUCCCUACCCACUGCUCCUGCGUUGUAUUAGCUAGUUGGUGGGGUAACGGCUCACCAAGGCGACGAUACAUAGCCGACCUGAGAGGGUGAUCGGCCACACUGGGACUGAGACACGGCCCAGACUCCUACGGGAGGCAGCAGUAGGGAAUCUUCGGCAAUGGACGGAAGUCUGACCGAGCAACGCCGCGUGAGUGAAGAAGGGUUUCGGAUCGUAAAGCUCUGUUGUAAGAGAAGAACGGGUGUGAGAGUGGAAAGUUCACACUGUGACGGUAUCUUACCAGAAAGGGACGGCUAACUACGUG